rnacentral:lncRNA from 1 species
CUCAGGGAUGUAAAGGGAAGAAGGGGGAACUGGGGGAGGCUGCUACACGCAGAAAUAAAACGGGAUUAGGGGAAGGAGAAGCAGAAGGUUGCAAACAUCGAAAGCUGCCAAGCUCACGUUCAUCGUCAGUUUCUGGCAACUCAUCAAACCAGCGGAUCCAACGUUCCUCAUCUUGUUCUUGACCGACACCCACAAGCACCAGACGUGAGCUGUAAACACUGUGGAAGUCAGAAGAAUUAAGGCGGUCCUGGCCCCUACUGGAACGGGCCGAGAGAACCGGGACGGCGGGACCCAAGUGCGGAGUCGUUCGUCUGGAUUCAGGGGAUAAGGCAAAGUUCUCGGAGUCGGGGACAGGCGACUGGUCGGUCGAUCGGCGGUCGGAGUCAGAGUGAGGAUCCAUGGAUGAGUAUUUCCACAAGUCUUCACUUCCACAUUCAAAGCUAUUGUGAGAAGAUGCUGGUGCAGACAAUUACACCCUCGGUACACUCUCACGCGCACACGCAGCAGCGUCCGGCUGAUGACAAUGGCAACGGUCAGCAGAAGAUUUGGGCGGCGAUUGCGAGAGCAAGCAGAGAGUGUGAAGAGAUUGAAAAUGAGGGAUGCAGCUUGGAGGCAGGGGGCACAAGAACAGAGCAGAUACCGUGGCGCAGGCAAAGUGCGGGGGCUUCCAAACGCAUAAUCUCUUCCACUAAUUGUGUCUCCCCCGACCACCAGGAAUUGUGACGUUUCAGCUCUGUGUUUAUCGACGAGCACAAGAAGCUAAUUAAUAUGGUAAUUCCCACACCCUUCACUACCCACCAUAUUUUACCAGCAGUUACAUCAACUUUGGUGGAGGUCAGUGUGUCAUGAUGCAGGUACCCAAAAUGAGGGACAUAAGCUUUUGUGACAUUAUUACCUGGUCACAUAGUACACUAUGGUAGGGGUACAUAGUGGUGGACUGAGACCCCUGUGAACAUCCACAGUUCUAUUGUCCGUUGAGUCCUCAUCAGUUAUCCUUCUCCCGCUCCAGGACGACUGGUACCGUGGUCAGGGCUGCUGCCUAUGCACCUAAAGGUUGCAGGUUUGACUCUCACCUCUGGCUGCAGUACCCUAGGUACUCACCCUAAAUUGCUCCAGUAAAAAUGCCCAGCUUUGUAAAUGAGUAAAUAAUUGUUAAAAAAAAAAGAAAAAAAAAAAAAAGGCUUAACACUGUAAGAUGCUUUGGAGAAAAGCAUCAGCUAAAU